AGUCCCAGCUGUUGGUCACUUGGGCUGCUUCGGAGGUCGCAGGCCUGGACCCAACCCGGGGCCUCACUCAGUCGGCUUUUCCAGCGUCUGCCUGGGCUCAGUGUCUGCUCCCUCAGUUCUCCUGCUGCCAAGAUGCCAUCACCACGGACAGUGACCCCUGGGCCAGAACUGCAGAGCACCAAGGAGCCUGGACUGAAAACCCAGACCCCAGCUCAGGGUAGUGGGCGGGUCAGCAGUAAGGAGCAGCCCAAUGCCCACCAUGAGGAUACCAUGAGGCCAGGCCUGGACACCCUGAAGCGGGCCUUCUCCUGGGUAAGCCCUCGGGCCUCCCAGGCCUCCAAGGAGGACACAGGCCUGCUCAGGCGAAGUUCCCGCUUCCUGUUCCGGUCUUUCCAGCGUACUGUGGAUGAAGGUCUAGCUUCUGGCCAGUCCCAGGGAGCUGCUAUGCCAGAGGAACCCUGCAUGGUCACAGAUGGUGUCAGCCAGCAGGAAUCCACCCGGGUGGGGCCUAAGGACCUGGAAUUUGAGGCAGAAGGCAAAUCCGUGGCCGACCUCAUCACUGAGAGGCAGCUGCUAGCUGCUUUCGCACAGCUCCGGUACCUGGAGACGAAGUUGGUAGCUGAGAAAGCCUCUCGCACCUUUGAGCAGGACCCCACAGCCUUUGCGCGGCGUGCCAUGGACGUGUGCCUACAUUACGACGGACUGGCGGCAGAGAUCGGCGCCAUCGUUCGCGAGACUCUGGGUCCCGAAGGCGUAGACCAGGCCGCACUUGUUGAAGUGGCCCGCGUGGUGCGCGCAGAAGAAGAGGCCCACCCGGAGCUCCCAGCCGACGGCGACUUCCUGCGCACACCCCGCCACUGGCGCCGGCACUGGGAGGACGCGGUGAGGCGCAGCGCGCAGGAGCGAGUUCGGCGGUCAGGCGCUGGGCUGGCUUCGGAGCCUGACGAGGGCGCGUCCGACCUGGCCCAGCUUCUGGCAGAACUUGGUGGCUUGGUUCGACGCGACCUGCAGAAGGUGCGGUUGGUGGUGCAACCGGCUUACGCGGCCGCCGGCUUCCCGGCGUGGGAGACCUACCUCCGCGCCUUCCACAGCGCGGUGGCCCAGCGCCUGCAGGAGCUCGCGCAUGCCGCCCGCGGCUGCGAGCAGCUCUAUCUUCUGCUGGACUGGGCAGCCAAUGUCUACGGCAGCCCUGACUUCCUGGGCGACCCGGACCUGGCGCUGCUCACGGAACCACUGCCCCCACUCCUAGCGCCUGGCGUGUGGGCUCGACUGGAGAGCGACUACACCAGUUUCCUGGAGACCAAGAUUGCAAGCUGCUUCGACGGCAUCCUGCAGCUGGAGCAGAGCCGCUGGGCAGCCGCCAAGGCCCCUGAUGUGCUGCAGGGCCUCUACCACUCACCGCUGUCCAUUGAUGUCCACAUGCUAGUGGCCGAGCAUGUGAAGGCGGCCGGCGCUAUCUCCGCGGAGCUGGAAGCCACCACCCUGCGGAUCUGCACGCGAGCACUGAGCCUCUUUCUGCCCAGGUUUGAAAAGUCUUUUCUGGAGUCGGAAGCCGUGAGCGAGCCGCACCUGGGCGCCUACAUUAACGCCUGCGAGCAGCUGAGGACCAGUCUUCUGGCCAGGUUCCCAGGAACUCUAGAAGAGCUGGAGAAGCCCCUGGUGGCUGCCACCUGUAACUUCCAGAAGCAUUUGCUCCAGGGCUUGCAGAAGGAUGUGCAGCCGCUCUUCAGGGUCUUAUGCACCAAGAGCUGGCUGACACAGGACACGCUGUACCCCAUCAUGGACAAGGUGGUGGCCUUCGCCCACCACCUCAAGCAUGUAGCCCCACCACUGGCAAAGGAUACUCUGCAAGAGGUGCACCGUUACAUUGUGCGGGAGUACCUGGCACAGGCACUGAGGCCCCGGGAGCGCUUCCGGGGCAUGGAGCGUGUGAAUGGCGCCCACAAGAUGAACGUGGAGGCCCAGGCCAUCAGUGACACCUUCCAGGGCUUGGGCUCUGAAGCCACGUGGCUUAACCAAGCCAUCCCGUGCGUGGCCGAGAUCCUGGGUGAAACUUACAAGGAUGACAUCCGGCGGCACCUGGAGACACUCAUCCAGAGCUACCCCGACAUCAGGCGAAACCACAUAUUGGCCAUUCUGGCGCUGCGUAGACUGGGCCGCCGCAGGAACCAGAGCCUCCUGCAGCAUGCCCAGGACCUGCUGAGGGCUGCGGCCAAGGCUGUGGGCUCAGGAGCCACUCAGGACCGCAUGCUUUUCGAGGAGAUAGAGUUGUCUACCUUCAUGGACCAGCUGAUCACCUGCAUCUAGUGCUCCCCUGAUCCCAGGCAGUCAUUCCAGGCCCUGCCCAUGACUCUGAAGCCCCGUGGAAUUCUUGUCCUCAGUCAUGCUUGGCUGCUUGGCUGGAGAGCCCCAUUUUCAAAAGAUUUCCCUUAUGUUGGGGACUUCACAAUGGGACCUUUGACCCCACGUCUGAACUCAAAGAGGGGAAGUGUCUGGUGCAGCUGCACAGCAGGAGGCAGCCCCUGUUUCUUCCAGUUCCAGCUCUUGCUCUGGGACACACCCUGAGAACCAGCGUGCAGACGGGGAAACUGAGUCCCAGAAAAGGGUUUGACCUGCCCAAGGCCACGAUGAGCGGGGAGAGCUGAGCCUGGGGUCUG